AUGAAUAUGCUAAAGUAUACUUGCGACCGCGAUUCUCGGCGAUGCCGGUUGCGAAUAAACCAGAAAUUAUAUUCUACAAUUUCCACUACCAGGGCAUACGCAAACACUUUCGUCAAUAAUUUCAAGUCACUUUAAAGUACGUCAUCUGAACCAUAGAGCUACAAAACAGGAAAUUAAUUAUUAUUAAUAAAAUUAUUUAUUGGCAGAUUCCAUUGGUGAUUUUGUAAUUAACAUUUGAUAUACUGCUGAAAAAAUUCGUAUUUUUACGGAAAGGUUCAAGUUUUCAAUCGAAACUCCAUAUUGUUUCAAACAAUUAGACUGCAUUUUUUAUAUCUACGUUUAUAACACACAUAACGUAGAUCUAGAUUACUGGUCGUUUUGAUAAACGAAUUUGUUUACUUAAUCGGUGGUUGAAAACAAUAAUCAUUAAAUAUUUUCAUAUACCUAAAUGCGUUUGAAUCCAAGAUUCGAAUUGCUCUCAGACGGACCUUUUUUCUUCUUCUUAAGAAUCUAGUACGUACCCUCGCUUUGCUCGGGCAUAAAUUUUACACGAGAUGAAAGAAAUCUACAUUCCCGAACAUUUAACAUACAGCUUUUUUUAAAACAAUAUGUGGUUAACACGGAAUUCAGGCACGCAUUUUUCGCCAAGCUUGCAGCAAAGUCAUACUUUUCACACGGCAUGUUGAAAGUUAUAAUUUUUCUAGUAUCUUGUUCAGGUAGGUACAUCAUGAUAUGCUUAUGCUUGCUUAUAACUUGCUUAUAAAAAAUUUAUAAUCAUCUCUUUCCUAUAUACAUGCCCAUAGUUUGUAUCUUUUCUUCCCAUCUACCAAGGACUUUUUUAUUAAUUGGAACAAUUUAAAAAAUAAUUUUUUAACACAACGAAGUUAUAAAAAAUUAACAAAAAACAUUCAAACAUUAAUCUACUAUGCAUUGAAACUUCAUGUGCUAUGAAUAACAUCGAUCUUUUACUAAAAAUAUUUAACAGUAAAAUUGCAAAUAGCUAUACGAUGUUUAUAUACAAUACAUAAAAAAAGGCCAUCGAAAUUAAUAAUUUUAUGUAAAUUUAUAUUAUCUAUCAAUGUUUUGUUUAAUACUUGAUACCAUAGUACAAUUUUGAAGCCAUUAUUUGAGCCAAUGGAUGUUGUAAAAACUCUUAAAGUAUAUGGACUCAAAUUUUAAUUUUAAAAAUAAUGGUAUAAAGUGACUAAGCACAAUUAUAUAACGCUUGCCUUUUUCUGUGACAACUUAACUCUUGCCUUCGUUGUUCGAAUAACGGAAAUGCUCAACUACUAAAUGUUAUCUAAAUUAAUGGUUUUUCGCAGUUAUUUACUUGAUCAAGAAUUAGUAGGUCAAUGUACUGAUGUACCUGUAAAAUCAAGUAUACCGGUUUUAAAUUAUCUGGAUUCCUGAGCAGCCACUUCUACUAACAUGCAUAAAAACCAAAAAACCCACGUUGGCGAGUCAUUUCCAAUCUUCUUAAAUUUUUUAUGCAAUUCCUUUGGCACAUGAUAAUUUAAAAGUUACCUGAAUAUAUGCAUAUUUCAAUCAAUAUGGAAACUCAAAUCACAAUAAUAGAUUUUAUGGGACAUAGUAUUAAUAUAUUAAUAGAUAACAGUUUAUUGUACGUACUAGAACGAUAAUAAAAAUCAUAUUCUCUUGUUACACGUUUUACCAAAAGUAUUAAGCUCGUUUUGAUGGCUAUGGCAAUAUAAGCAAUGUAAAAUUACACGGUAUGUAUGUUUAUUGGAUCUUGUGCGAAGAAAAUGUCGGUGAUUUCUCAGUGUAUGAACGAAUAUUUUGCAAUCUAGAGCUUACGGAUCUAUUCAAAAACUAUCUCGAACUCCACCCUUAUCCAAAGUCUUCAAGUCUGUGACUUAGUAUGACAAUAACUAUAGUAACUUACGAUUAAUCACUAUGAUUAUCAACAUUUAUAAUUGCAUCAAAGUUGGGGUUAAUGUUAGUUAAGUAGUGUACGUAUAGAUCACAAGCAGUCCUUUAAAUAGGUUGCUACGUUCAUCAACCGUAGUAAGAAAUACCACACUUUGUUCUACAUUUAAAAAAAAGUACAACUUAACACUAUAAUUACGGAUUUUUACAAAAAUUUUUCAGUAUACAGUUAUUGACAGCGUAAAAUGUCUGGACUUCAAUAAGAAAGAUAUUUCAUUAAUCGAAAUUGAAAAUAUUAUUUUUUUUACAAUAUAAAGUUGCAAUAAUAAUGGAACAUUGAAACAUUCUAUUUGUUUAUUACUUUUUACAGGUGUCAACAAAGUUUUAAUGCAAUUUAUAAAUACCUAGAACAAAACAUAUGCCGAAUCAACUACCUGCAAUAUAAUUCACUUUUACCAAAAUUUUCCAGAUAGACCGCAAAGAGUCAAUUUGAUGCAUUCGGCAAGAUAGUUUCAAAAGUCAACGUAUAUUUAGAUUACGCGGUGAACGAAGUUGAGACAGAGAAUUUGACCGACGGUGAAUUUUUACUGUUUACUCAUCUUGGCAUUUGUUCUUAUGUGACAAAAGUAAGGUCGGAUGACGAUACUGUGGAGGUAUAUUUCAAUUGACCAGAGCAUCCGAGUGCAAGACCUUAUGUGCAAGCAUGACCGAUUUGAAAAUAAAUAAUGAUAAAUACUGUAGAUCUGCCCUUCAUUAUUUGAUAUCUAGGAGGAUUUUAUUAGAAGUGUAAAUGUUUUAGCUAUGAAGUUUUUUUAUAAAUAUAGUUUCUUAUUUCGACUUUUAUUUAUAGUAUUGUUCUUUAAAAUAGUCAUUCUCACUAAAAGUAGCUUCAGAUUUUGAGAAGUAGAAUCAUCGUAAUUGUCACUAUUAUUAUUUAAGUAAACGAAUAAGAUAAAAAAUACAGUCAGCCUAUUGUUCUUAUGUAUGUAAAAAAAAUUUUUAUUUUUCA